rnacentral:rRNA from 1 species
GAUGAACGCUGGCGGCGUGCCUAACACAUGCAAGUCGAGCGAGAAGUUUGAAAAAUGAGUUUUCGAACAAGUGAUUCAAACGGAAAGCGGCGGACGGGUGAGUAACGCGUAGGCAACCUGCCCCGUGCAGAGGGACAGCCUCGGGAAACCGGGAUUAAGACCUCAUGAUAUCGGGUUAUCACAUGGUAAUCCGGUCAAAGAUUUAUCGGCGUGGGAUGGGCCUGCGUCUGAUUAGCUGGUUGGUGGGGUAACGGCCUACCAAGGCGACGAUCAGUAGCAGAACUGAGAGGUUCAUCUGCCACAUUGGAACUGAGACACGGUCCAAACUCCUACGGGAGGCAGCAGUGAGGAAUAUUGCACAAUGGGCGAAAGCCUGAUGCAGCAACGCCGCGUGAGCGAAGAAGGCCUUUGGGUCGUAAAGCUCUGUCCUUGGGGAAGAAACAAAUGACGGUACCCUUGGAGGAAGCCCCGGCUAACUACGUGCCAGCAGCCGCGUAAAACGU